CAAGUGAUCCUCCUGCCUCAGCCUCCCAAAAUGCUGGGAUUACAGAUGCAUGAGGUAUCUCCAGAUAGGCUACAGUAAGAUGCAGUCCUUCCAAGAUCCAGAGCCGCUCCCAAGGAUAGCUGAAAGAAAGACACAGAUAACCCCUUGAGGGUUGGUAACAAUCAGCAGAACACUAACUGCAAAAUUUACAGAUAAUCUUUUGGUUGGUUGCCUGCACAUGCAGGCCCAAUAACCCACGCACCCCAGACAGGCAGAAAGCAAAGCCUAGUUCUCAGGACAUUCGAGCACUUUGGAGGCCAAGGCAGAAGGAUCACUUAAGCCUAAGAGUUCGAGACCAGCCUAGGC